UUUAUAUUUCUGCAAUGUAUUGCUACAAAAAUCCAUUAAAAAUAGACUAUGAAAAAAAAAUCUAUUUUAUUUGAUCAAAUGAUUUAGAGGGUCCAGCCCUCCAGCACAUGGGAGUAAAACAAAAUCAAUAUAAGCUUUAGCGUUCUAGCAAUUUUUUGACAAAUCACAAAUAUAUAGUUUUUAAAAAGAAAGUCUUAUUUCCAUCUUCAGAAU